CCUACGGGCGGCAGCAGUGGGGAAUAUUGCACAAUGGGGGAAACCCUGAUGCAGCGACGCCGCGUGAGUGAAGAAGUAUUUCGGUACGUAAAGCUCUAUCAGCAGGGAAGAAAAUGACGGUACCUGACUAAGAAGCCCCGGCUAACUACGUGCCAGCAGCCGCGGUAAUACGUAGGGGGCAAGCGUUAUCCGGAUUUACUGGGUGUAAAGGGAGCGUAGACGGCAGCGCAAGUCUGGAGUGAAAUCCCAUGGCUUAACCAUGGAACUGCUUUGGAAACUGUGCAGCUAGAGUGCAGGAGAGGUAAGCGGAAUUCCUAGUGUAGCGGUGAAAUGCGUAGAGAUUAGGAGGAACACCAGUGGCGAAGGCGGCUUACUGGACUGUAACUGACGUUGAGGCUCGAAAGCGUGGGGAGCAAACAGGAUUAGAUACCCGAGUAGUC
rnacentral:rRNA from 1 species